rfam:Ixodes scapularis strain Wikel colony gcontig_1108378614848, whole genome shotgun sequence.
GUGUAGCUUAGUGGUAAGGUAUCUGUCUCAUAAGCAAGCGAUCCUGGGUUCGAUCCCCAGUGC